GUGGGACUUGAACCCACAAACUGCGAGAUCAUGACCUGAGCUGAGAGUUUGAGGAAUGAUAUUGACCAAAGGCCACAGUAAGAAACUUUAAGGAUUCAAGUGAACCACAGUUAAAAAGGGAUAGAUCGAAAUCAACACCUUUCACCAUAAGCCCAAAUCCAAUUAUGCUGUCCCCUUCCUCCACUAUGUAGUAUUGAUUAUUUACAAUUCCAAAUAUCUGUCUUCUGAUGUUUUAUUGAUAAUAUUUAGGACAAACCCCUCUGCAUCCCAAACAGGAACUUUGCGCUCUUCUGCUCCACACUUUGGUUCAUGUGAUUCCCAGCUUGUGAAAUGUCCUACACCAAGUACUCUUAACAAAAUCCUAAAUUCCUCAAGGUUUUAUUUAGUUCAUGUUUCUUGUGUGACUGUGAAACUACAAAAUGUACAGCAAUAAAUAAAUACAAUGAUUCU